GAUCGCAGAAACACCGAUGAAUCGUUGUCGCUUUGCUUUUUUAAAUUUCACCUUUAUUUAACCAGGUAGGCUAGUUGAGAACAAGUUCUCAUUUGUUACUGCGACCUGGCCAAGAUAAAGCAUAGCAGUGUGAAGAGACAACACAGAGUUACACGCUUAGUGUUCUGCUUCACACAUGCAUGUUUGACAGCUAGCAGCUAGCCAGCCACCUAGCCAGGGAGAGGCUAUACCAAAGACAGUGCAUUAUGAAGAUCCCUGGGCACACUUGUAGGCGACGUCAGCUAGCAAAACUCAUACGUAGAAACACGUUAACGGGUCGUCUUUCGUCGAACUGCGCAUAUGCAGGUCGUCAACUCAGAGGCAGUCUUUCUAUAUAAAGUUGUUUUUGACGAAAAUGAAAACGUGUCAAUUUGUGACUCUCACAGGGUUGGAGUCAUAACAAGUUCAACUACAUAAGACAUUGUCUGGAAUCUUAAUUGUCCCUUUAGAUUUCGAGAACAUUAAUGAAUAAGUAAGAUCCUAUCUUUGGCUAUACGGACACACCUGGUGCCCAAAUUGAUGACGUAUGUAAGUAUAUCGCGCAGCUGAGUCAGGUGUGGAAUUUUGCAAUUGUUUUAGAUGCUGCUUGAUUAUUGAGGAACGUGUCAAGACCCGGGCCCUGUUUCAGAAAGCAAGUUUAACAAACUCUGAGUUUAAACCUGAACUCUGGGUUGUCAAACUCAGAGUUUUUGGUUUCAGAGCAGGUGAUAACAAUUAGUUAAAUCAAAGCUUGGUUAAUUUAACCCUGAGUUAAACACGUGCAUGAGGAGAUAAAGAGCCAUCAUCAAUGGGACGCAGAUAACAUGAUUCAUCAUGGCAACAGGAGAAAAGGUCUCGAACCUCCUACUUCUCCCCAGUGGAGUUUCAAAUGUUAACGAACGCGUAUGCAGAAUAUGUGCAUAUAUUUAAGAAAAUGAAUAAAUGCCGUAGCAGCAGUAAAAUAACGUGAGUUGGCGUGGCAGAAAAUUGCUGACCAAGUCAAUGCGCACAAAACCUACUUGGCAGCCACUGAAGAUGAAAUAUACAAAUAUACUUCAAACAGCCAUCCCAACACUGCCAGUAUUUGAAAGUAACACCUAAAUUCCUUUGUACAUACAUGUCUCUGAAUUUGUGCUUACUGGACAUGUUCAAAUUUGACCUCAAUUAUAACCAAUAGAAAAAGUCUGAGGGCUGAAAAACGGGUGGGGGUCCACCACCACUCACCGAGGCUGAAGAGAUGGCCCUCAGUCAAAACUGUGGGUGACCUAUUGAUGAAGGUAUCUUUGGAGGAAGCUCAUUAACUGAUUUAGUGCUUCAUACUAAAUACAUUAAUUAUUGCUUAGACUGAUACCUGUAAUUCUGUGGCAUUCUUCUUUGAGUCUUGUGAGUCUGUGACUUGGGAACGCCACAAAAGUGUACAGUAAACGUUUCAGUGCAAGAGUCACAUUUCUGACGGCCCAACAGACGGUUGCCUUGGAAAUAUGCUCAGCGUCAAUGUUAUAUAGAAAACUCCCGUUGGCAAGAAAAUAAAGUGCAACAAAUUAAUUUAUUCCGAACUGAGAGCAUGUCCACAAUGUGUCAUAUGAACGAUAUGAGGGCUGAGAAUAUUGUUCAGAUGAAUGAUCGCUUGAACGUUUCCGUUUUUCUGCACAAACAUAAUCAGGGAAUGAUAAAACAUCCAAGCAGGGCAUGAUCACCCUCUCCCAACUGAGAGAGGGUGGUAUUUGUGCUUCAAUUUCAACUGGCUCUUCAAGAAAAGGACACGCCAUGUCUGACACCUUAAGUCUGCAGGCUUCAGCUAAAGAGGAGGAGAAACUCGGGGCUAGUUGAAAACCUGCCAGCAAGCAGGUUGGCUCCAUGGAGUAUGUUGCCAUAGUAACUGACUCAGAGUUAAACUGAACUGGCUUUGUGAAACCGAAAACCCAGACUUUCCUUCAACUCUUAGUCGAAUAACUCUUGAGUUUUCACAAAACCCACUUUCUGAAACAGGGCCCUGACCCUCAGAACAUACCUACAAUUAACCCUGUUGACUCAUCAGUAGGAAAGACUUUUGUUUUAGUCCAUUCAGCAACAAUGGAGCUAUACGAGCCUUGUUUCAACAGGAAACUUACUGGAAUGGUUUUAUUGAUAAUAUCUGUUGGAGAAAAAGUUAGGAUGUUGCCACAUACCUACUUAACACAAUUAAGGAAGUUUCUUCUUAAAUGAUUCAUAAAUAUUAUCCUGCCAACCACUAUAUGAAGUAAAAAAUUGUAGCUUUUGUAAUGACCAAGCAGAAGCAUUUGCACAUUUUUUGUCAUUGUAUUCAUGUAAGGAAUUUGUGGCAAGACAUCAGUAGAUUUAUAAUUGAACACAUUUAUGAUUAUUUUACACUAUUGGGAGAUGUGCUGCUUGGAUUAUUUUCUUAUGAUAGAUAUAAAUGUAAAUCAUUUUAUUAGAUUAAUUUCAUUCUUUUGGCCAAAUUUCAUAUUCACAAAUGUAAAUGUACAAACAAAACACAUUUUCUUACCUUGCAAAAAUAAAUUGAACUAUUUUAAGACAAUUAAAUACUCUACCAACAAAACAGCUGUUAGAACUAUGUGUGUAUGUCCCAUAAGGACCUUGUGUAAUGUGAUAUUGUACCCCCUAGCCCAAUUGUCCUUUGUAUGUGUGUGUGUAUAUAUACACUUUUGUUCCCCCAUGUACUUUUUGUGUUGUUAAUAAUAAUACAAUUACAACAUUGUUAUGUUUUAAAGAGUAGUGAGGAGACGAAUCUGUUCGGUUCAGUCAGUCGGCAACAACUUGUAAAAUAAAGUAAUGUUUAUUUUGAUGGGCGAGGGAAAAGUACAUUGUAAUUGGUCACCACUUACUUGUACAUAUCUACCUCAAUUACCCAGUACCCCUGCACUUUGCCUCAGUACUGGUACCCCAUGUAUAUUGCCAAAUUAUUGUUACUCAUUGUGUAUUUAUUCCUCGUGUUAUUAAUUCUCUUUGUAUUGUUGGCAGUGACCAGAUUAAGAAACCAUAGGCACCCAGCCUUUUAAAAACGCAUUUAAUUCAAUUCUACGUCAUUUGUAUGACAGAAGACAUUAGCUGAUUUAUUUUUUAAUGGCACACAAAUGACCAAAAUGAGUGGCUACUAACAAAUGUAGAUCAAUCUGGUAAUGAAUUCAAACAAACCAUGCCAAUGAAGUGACACACAGAUUGUACAAUAUAAGGACGAAAUAUAUAAAGACCGAUUAGUCUUCUCUUUCCAAACAGUGCAUUCUUCCAGCGAUUGUAUUUUGAAAUCUGCAAAAGGCAAAUCGACAGCGUAACCAACCAUAUAUAUAUAUAUAGUUUAUAAUCCGAUUGUUGCUUUGUGGCCAUAGAUAUAAACUGUACUGCGGCCUUCCCGACUGUAGGCAUACCGGUAACUGCCAAAAUAAAGGAAACACUUGAGUAAACAAGUGAUACAAAGUAUAUGUUAUGGUGUGGGGUGCAUUUCGAUGGAAUGGUUCAAAUCCACUUGUAGAAUCUAUGCCAAGACGAAUUGAAUCUGUUCUGGCUGCUCGUGGUGGCUCAACAUCCUAAAACACUAUGUCGGUGUUUCCUUAAUUUGACCAGAUAGCCUUUCCUGUAUGUGCUUCUGAUAACGUAAUCCACAUUUGUUUUUUAUAAACUGUUGAUCCUCUAUGGCUAAAUUAUGCUCUAUGGUGUAUUUUGAACAUUGAGAGCGGGCUCCUGGGGGUGGAUCAUUUUGAUUUAUUUAUCUUAUUUUUUGCCUUUUGGGCACUGCCCUGACACACAAUUGACCAGUCAUUUUUACUUAUUUGUUAUUCAGUUUAAAAUGUAGGCCUACUACUGCUGCAUUCACGUCCAUAUUUUUUGUACAAAAUAAACGUACAACUGAAUGAUUCUGAACAAUCUCCCAAGUUCCAACUUUGGCAGACAAGUUUCAAAUUGUAGUUGCAUUUUCUAGGAACAAACACAAAUUACACUAGUUAAAAAAAAAUACAUGUAAGUACAGUAGCUAUCUGAGAAAGGCUCAUCAAGACAACUGACGGAUCCGUUCGUCUCCACUAGACUCGCUGAGCGAAACACGUCACCAAUUUAGGCACCAGGUGUGUCCACAUAGACAAUACAGUAUGCCUCUCCACACCGCCAUCAAUUUCGUGUCAUGUGCGCUGUGGAAAAUAACACACUUGGGUGCUUUAUUUAUUGUAUUUUAUAAAUAUGCAAUCGUCUCAAGAAUGUUUUCGUCUACUUGGAAUUUCCUGAAACGCCACAAAAUGAAAUGUAUUUUCGCAGGGACUUUUGUCGGACUUAACAAAGUUAAUUGCUAGCCAGGAAUGUUUACCUAUCUGGGUUUGAUCAGAUGUAUUUUAUGUCAACUAUGACUAUUAUGCAUUUAUGAAGCUAUGUUAUCUAAAUAGUUAUAAAAUAAAUUGCAUGAAAUAUAAUCAGAAUAAAUCUAACUAGCUGAUGGCUGUAACGUUAGCAAAUGUUGGUGCAGUCGUUCUAGCUAGCUACAUCCUGCCUAUCUGUUCCAGGUAUGUACUUUCUUGGUAAAUAUGCCCAAAAGAAAAUCCGAGAUAUAUAUAUAUAUAUAUAUAUAUAUAUAUAUAUAUAUAGGAGCGUGAGGCAUCAGAGUAUAUCGCUUAAGCCUGACGUCAGUUCCACUUCGAGAGUAACCAGAGAACGUGCAACAUGACAGGUAGGGUACAGAUAGGCAUCUCACCUUCAGUCUAUUAACAGUAACAGGCCCUGAAAUCUCCUGCAACAAUCAUGUCAAAUGAUAGCAGUAUCGCAAUGUUGAUUCAUAUUUGUGCAUUUUGAAACCCUGUUGAUUUUUUAAAAAAUGUAUAGUGUUGUCAAUGCUCCCUACCUUAAUUAAGAAGCCAUUUUACAUCAUCUGAACUCCGAACCUCACAGCACUGCUGAAGAGCAUGUCCGUACGUGGUCAUGACUUGAUAGCUCAGCAAAAUUAUUAGUUUAUUAAUGACAUCACCUGUUUCUCUUCUAGACCAGCAAAUAAACUUUAAAUAUGGGAGGACCUGAAGAUUAUCAGUGUUAUUAUUCUUCAACAUGAAUUCAUUUGAAUCAAUAACUAAAGUGAUUUAAUCUGUCAUCCCCCAGGUUUCACCCGAAGUGUCGUGGCUGUGUACAGUGUGUUGGUAUGUUGAUUGUUUUACACCAUGUUCAGCGAACAAUUCUGUCAGCAAGAAUUGAAUGGUAAACCUUUAAGCUUUAAUGUCUUGUACCCUAUGGGGCAGCUUCAAUUCCUAGUUACGUAUUAAGCCUACAUUCAGCACCUCCCAUGAACUGCAGAAAUGAAGGAGUGGACAUUUUACUGGUAGACCUGGACCUCUUGGCCUUCUCUGUAUGUUUGCAUGACACUGGACAUCACAGAUGGAGGAAGAAAUGCACUUAUUCUCUGUACCAAGUCACAAUACUCAAGAGGAUCGGGUCCUUGGAAAGUUACUGUUCCCUGUCCUUGGUGGGAGAACUGUGUUCCAUUGUGGACUGUAGGGUUCUAAACUGCUGCUUUACCUGGACACUUCAAGGUCAAAGACCCACUGCAUCUUCUGUCGUUCUGCCCUUAACCCACUGUUAACUGCCUUGCUCAGCCGUCAUUGUAAAUAAGAGUUUGUUCUUAACUGACUUGCCUAGUUAAAUAAAGGUUCAAUCUUAAAAACCUGA